rnacentral:rRNA from 1 species
UACCCACCAGCUAGCCUACCCACCCACAUGCAACAACCACAUUAAUAAACCCAAAUACAUCAAUAAUUCAAGCAUUAAAACAUUUUUCCUCCCCAGUAUAGGCGAUGGAAACGGACCCAUAGAGCUAUAGAUAGAGUACCGCGAGGGAAAGCUGAAAGAGAGAUUAAAUAGAACAGUAAAGUCACAUAAAGCAGAGCUUAUAGCUCGUACCUUUUGCAUCAUGGGCUAGCCAGUAGAACCAGGCAAGAAGCACCAUAGUCUGCCGCCCCGAAACUGGGUGAGCUACUCCGCGACAGCCUAUUGCAGGGCAAACCCGUCUCUGUGGCAAAAGAGUGGGAAGAUCGUCGAGUAGAAGUGACAAACUUACCGAACCUAGUGAUAGCUGGUUGUCCAAGACAUGAAUAUAAGUUCAGCUCUCCCGAUUUUUUGAUCCACUCGGCAUGCGCCCUUUGACCCAAAGUAUUAAAGGAGAAGUUACUCGAAGGGGGUACAGCCCCUUCGAGGGAAGAAACAACUUUUUCAUGGAGGUUAAGGAUUAUGAUUCACUGGGGACUCUGCCCUAGUGGGCCUAAGAGCAGCCACCUAUGCAGAAAGCGUCGAAGCUCGAGCAGGACUACACCCCAUUAUACCAGUAAGUAAACCCAAAACCCCAAAUUAGUAUUGGACCCGUCUACUUAAAGUAGAGAAGAUCAUGCUAGUAUGAGUAAUAAGAAGCCAUCAGAGCUUCUCCAGGCAUACGUGUACAACAGAACGGACAAACCACCGAAAAUUAACGGACCCAAAGUAAGAGGGUAAUGAUAUCUAUUUAAGCAACCGGAAGAGCAUUCACACCCACCCGUUUACCCCACACCGGAGUGCCCGAAGGAAAGACAAAAGGAAUAAAGAAGGAACUCGGCAAACUUUAGCCUCGCCUGUUUACCAAAAACAUCGCCUCUUGCGAGAAAUUUAGAAUAAGAGGUCCAACCUGCCCAGUGACAUUAUGUUUAACGGCCGCGGUAUUUUAACCGUGCUAAGGUAGCGCAAUCACUUGUCUUUUAAAUGAAGACCUGUAUGAAAGGACUAACGAGGGCUCAGCUGUCUCCUUUUUCCAGUCAAUGAAAUUGAUCUCCCCGUGCAGAAGCGGGGAUCCCAACAUAAGACGAGAAGACCCUGUGGAGCUUAAGGCCCCAGUAUAGCCCAUGUUAAUAAACUCUCAACACAAACCAUAAACUAAAUGAGAACUGCUACUGGGCCUUCGGUUGGGGUGACCAUGGGGUAUAAAUAGCCCCCAAGCGGACAGGGAGCACUACAGGAACUUUCACAUAAAUACAUAACUCCACUCCUCAAAGCAAGAGCCGCAACUCUAACUAACGAAACUUUCGACUCAAACUGAUCCGGGUAUAUACCGAUCAACGAACCAAGUUACCCCAGGGAUAACAGCGCCAUCCCCUUCUAGAGCCCAUAUCGACAAGGGGGUUUACGACCUCGAUGUUGGAUCAGGACAUCCUAAUGGUGCAACCGCUAUUAAGGGUUCGUUUGUUCAACGAUUAAAGUCCUACGUGAUCUGAGUUCAGACCGGAGCAAUCCAGGUCAGUUUCUAUCUAUGAUCUAACUUUCUUCUAGUACGAAAGGACCGAAGAAAGGGGGCCCAUGUUAAAAGCACGCCCCACCCUCAUCUGAUAAAUUACCAUAAACCAGAAAGGGGGAAGGACAACUACACUUAGAAAAUAGUAC